CUAUUUUUGUUUCCAUGACUGGCAUUGACACCUUGAUCAACUACUUUUUUGGGAUUUUUCCAUUAUUGCUAUAUUGCAUGUGCUUUGCCCUGCACUAUUGUUAGUUGAUGUUCAAAUAACUUUUGCCGUGACAUGACUCGACCUUUGCUGGACAUAAGACUCUAGCAAUUUGGUUUGACAACGAAGAAUUCUGAAAGAUAUGCAACAAUUUUUCAUGAAAUAAUGUGAAUUUUGUCGUGAAGGUCUCUCCUGCAGCACAGAGUACACUUGUGAGUUUGAUCAUCAAGUGUAAGACUAUGGUGGAGGUAAGUUUUGUCUUGACGAUUUCAAUUGUCUGAUCAAAUCCAAUGUCACGAGACUUCUCUUUAUAUACUUUACACAGCUUGAGUCAUCUGCUAUUGAGACGGUUUACAUGCAAAAUCAGUUUUAUCUAAACUGAAAGGAGAUAAUAGCAUGCUCUUUGUAAUAUCUAUCUGGUUCAAUAUUUCAAUAUUCAGGAGAAAUAGAAUAGCAUGUCUUCCAUAUUUCGUUCGGAAUCUUGCCUGCCACCAUGUGGUUUUGCAGGUCUUCACAAAUUUUGAAUAACUGAUAUUCAGAUUCAGUAGAGAGAGACUGGUUGGAUUAUCAUCAGUUUCCAAUUUGAGUCCCUUGACAUGAAGUGGAAUACAAGCUUCAGCUCUUUCGCUAUGUCGUGGCUUUUGCAAUCAAGAUAAGUGAGCUUAUUGUUACUUUGCCUGUACAAUUUUUAUGUUCCUCUCCGAGUCCAAUAAUUUUUAGCAUUAUGUUUGCUUCUGUAACUGGUGACUUCUACGGCUUAAAUAUUCACCAGGUAUAAGGUUCAUCGUGUUAUUGAGAUCAAGGAUCAAAUAUUAGCAAUAAAAAUAGGACUUACAUUUGGAAUUGACUGCAUGAGGAAAGUUAUGUUUAUUUUCUUAACAUGUGAGCUUUGCUGCUUAAAUAAUCACGAGGUAUAGGGUUCAUCGUGUUAUGGUAACGAGGUAUCGUGCAUUAGCACAAAAAUAGGACUUACAUAUGGAAUAUACUGCAAGAGUAAAAUGUUGCUUACUAAGUACAUCGGGUAAGAAGUAUUGCAGAGGCAAACAAUUUCUGAGUUACUAACAAGAAAAUUGCUGAUUUGUAAGUUUCAGCAGAAUGGUCUCGGUUACACCAGAACUUGAUCCUAGUACCUCUUCCAGCCUCGGAGAACAGUUAUAGUUUAUGAGUUGAUGGCUUCAUGGUUACCUUUUUUUGAAAACUCCAGUUCUUGAAUUUCAGGUUGACAUAAAAGGACUUUGUGCUAGUGACGUUUACAGAACUUUACAUCGUUUGUGCUUCUAUUGAGGGACUGGAGAGUUCAAGUCGCUAUAAUGCACUAAGUUGUUGCAAGAUGGCAAUGAAAAUAUGUUCCCCUUUAUUUUCCUCUGUUGGUUAGAAUGCGUGAUUUCCAUAUAGUCAUUGGGUUUGAGUACGCGAGGGAUAUCAGUUAACUUGAGUCUUCCGCAAUAUAUGAUGGGCUGCGCUCUUUGUCCCUUUUCAGUGACCAGACCUACUCAGGUUUCUCAGUA